ACAGCUCCAAUUAGACCCCUAGCCUGGGAACCUCCACAUGCCACGGGUGUAGCCCUAAAAAGACAAAAAAUAAGAGAAAUGAAAUUAUUUCUUUAACUUGCACUCCAGAACCCAGACUAGAUUAAUGACACCAUAAAUAUCAGUGGGAUUAAUGGUAAUGCAAUAUUAAAAAUGCCACCACCAAGUAAGAGACGGAAGGACACCUCUAAGAUCUCUCUCAUAUGUUAUAGAAAAGUUAUAAGACACAGAAAUGUUUUGUAAGAAGCUUCCCAAGAACAGGUACCAUCUCAUGUAAUGUGGAGGAGGAGCUACGGAGUACAUUUGCACAUUUGGAAGACAUGAAGCAAUUAACAAACCUGGAGAUCAGUGCAUAUAUGAGGAUAUGUUGUGAGAUAUGGUUGGGGCAAAUUUAUGAAGUGUCUAGUAAUAGUCUAAGAGAUCUGAAGACUAACUGUUAAACAAGGAGCUAUGGAAAUCUCCAAAGGGGGUGGGGGAGAAGUUUCUUUGUAUUGUACUAGUGAAAUUUUUUUUUCUUUUUCUUUUUUGGCUUCUAGGAGUUGAGUCAGAGCUAUGGCUUCCGGACUCAGCUACAGGCACACUGGAUCUGAGCCACCUCUGCGACCUAUGCUGCAGCUUUCAUCAAGGCUGGAUCCUUAACUCACUGAAUGAUGCCAGGAUCAAACUCACAUGCUCACAAAGACACAUCCUCCUUAAGCUGCUGAGCCACAAUCAGAACUCCCUAGUGAAUUUUUAAAGAAGAUGAAGCACAGCAAAUGACAUUGGCCAAAGUGGGUCCUGCUCUGAUUUAUAGCAAAACAACAGAUCUGCAAAACUGCCGUUAAUCUUUGGUCUAGGUUUCCUAGAAGCAACCUAAAUUUGAAAAAACAAACAAACAAAAAAGAUCCCUUCCUGUAAGAGAAUUUAAAUCUUUCUUUUGCUGUCUUAAAAUAAUAAUAAUAAAUAAUAAUGAUAAAUAAUAACAAUUCUUAUGAUAAUAUCUGAGAGCCUAUAAAGUUUGAGUGAAAAUUUUGCCUUUUCUGAAUUACUUUACCUUUUUGUGUCUCAAUCCAUUCAUCUAUAAAAUGAGUAUAUCAUUGUAUUUACUUCAGAGAAUAGUAAAGAAUUCUUGAGUUAAUCUGUUUUAAUUACGUGGAGACUGGCAAGAGUAAAUACUACAUAAAUAGUAUCUGUUAUUAAUGACAGCAGAAUUUUCUACAAGCUUUCUACUUAAACAUUUUUCUAAUAUUUACUUACAUUUCCAAUAAAAUGGGCUUUGUAUAAGUCAAUAUUUAUGUCCUUAACUUUGAAUCUUCCAAUCUCCAGAUUUUGUUAGAAAUUUAAAUUAUGAAUUUACACUCUAUCUGAAAAAAUACGUGAUAACAGAAACCCAGUUAGCCUUAGUCUGGAAAGGAAAGUCAUUCAUCUAGGAAAAAUAGUAUUUUACUACAUUAGGAACUAAUUUACAUGCAGGAAAUAUUCAGUCCUUAGCAGUCUAAGUCAGAUGCUAUGUGUUGAGGGCAUGAUAAGGACUGGGUUUGUUUAAUAAUCUCUCUUGGCUUGCCAUGUAGAAAUCUCAUGAUAUCAAAUACAUAUCAUUAGCUGAGACCUGGAACCAAAACAUUCUCUCAAAAAAUAAUAAUAAAUUCUGUAAACUUGACUUACAGAUAUUUUGUCCCUCAUGCUAGGAAUUUUGCAAAGAAUAUUGAUGCCAUGGACAUAAAUAAUUUUUUAAAGGGUAGUAUGAUUCUUAAAUAUUGGUUUUUCUUUGAAAUGACAUCUAAUUUGGUAUAAAAGUAUCGUAGAUACAAAAUUAACAUAUAAUUAAUUAUACAGUUAUAGACAAAAUUGUAUAUAUAUGUAACUAUUCUUGGGAUAUCAGACUUUUAAUCUUCCUUAAAGAAAGAGAAUAUAUACCUCAUGACUAACAAAUCAUUGAUAUAAUUAAUUGAGUACAGUUAAAGAACUAUUAAUAUAUUUCAUUUCAACUGUAUUUUUCAAUAUCAGUAGUAUUAAUGAGUAUCUGUUUAGUCAAAGAAAUGUUCCUUUCUAAAAAAAUACAGAUGUGCUUUUGUUUGGAGAUCAAAAAAUACGUCUAAAUAUCAUGAAUUACUGACAUCAUAAAUUGUACUAUAAUUUUACUGAUGCUGAAUUUGGAAGGGACCUAGAGAACUAUGGGAGAUUAUUUAAAUUAUGCUUGAGUGUAUUCUAUGAAAAUUAAGUAUUAUAAACCUAUUAAAAUGAUCAUCAUGCCUUAGUUUGUCUUAUAACAUUUUUGUGCUAUACUCUAUGUCAGAAUUCAUAUAAAAGACAGAAUAACACUUGGAACUUUUUUCCUCUGAAACAUACUGUAUAUUUUGAGAAUAUAUAUUUAUCAAUUGACUCAAACAUGGAACAACAGAAGAUUCUUGUGAAUAUUUUCAUUGUCAUUAAAUGUCAUUUUGGGCCAAUGCAGAUUUUCCAAAAAUAUAUGAGGAUAAAUAACAAUUCUAGAGAGUAAAAGCAAUAAGUACAUGGAUUUAAAGGAAAAGCAGAAAUAGAGACAAAUAGGAUUACUUUAAAAUAAUUGCUUGUAAUUCAAAACAUGGUAACUAGUUCUUUCAGUCUUCUGAAAGCAGAGGUACACUGUGCUUUUCUUGUUCUUAUUUUUCUAGUCAUAUUCCUCAGUGGGAAGCUUGCAGACAUUCUUGUAUUAACCUCAUUAGUACUUUUUAUGUACCAUUUGCUGACUAGCAUGAUCUUGUGGUAGAAAAAAGCUGUCAAGAGCUAGGGACUUUCCCUUUGCACUCAAAGAAAUAUUUCCAAGAGAACCUCUGCUGAGCACAUCUAAGUUUCAGCAUUUGCUUGCCAAAUGCCAUCUGUUUUGAUGUAUAAAAUUCUCUAGAAACUGAGAGGAUGUAAUGAGGAAAUCCAAGUCUAAUUUGUCAUAAUCUCUUAAGGUAUUUUUGUUGAUCUGUCUUUAAAAACAAUAUGAUGAUCCUUGAAAAGAUCUAGGACAGAUUUUUUUUUUUAAAGACAGAAGAUACUACAACCUGUUUUUAUUCUGAUUGUGAACUAUUGAUGGUGAAUGAAAGAGUGAAUCAUUGCUGAGUCAAAGACACUGAUGAUAGCAUGGCAUGCAUGUUGGCUACUGCACUAAGGAGCAGUAGACUUUGAGAGGAAUAAAAACAGAAAUUAUGGGUACAGAUGUAGGUAGGCUAUUAGAUAAUAUAGGGGAAGAUUAUUAAAGUUCAAUUCUGCUAUCUUCAAUUUUCUCAGUUAAAUAAGAAGAAAGAUAAUCCUCAGAGAGAGAGAGAGUAUGUAUAUGUGUGGUAUGUUAGAGAAAGAAAAGUUAUGAAAAAACUGCCUGACAGAAGUUAAUAUAUAUUAAAGGUACCCUGGGAAAAGGUUGGGAAAGAAAACACAUAGUAUGUUACUGUAAUUUUUAUCUAUACUUUCAAAUUAAAAUACAAAUAAUUAAAUAUAUUUUGUUGGAUUUAAAAAUAAACAUUUCUAUUUGAUAACACAAAAGAAGUUUUUGAAAUAUAACUGGUAACACUUUAAGAUUAUACAUUUUAACAUAAAAUCUUUUUCAUUAUAUCUUUGAAAAAAUAGGCCUUAUUUUAUUGAAUUUUCAGUGUCUUAUCUAAAAACAUUUAAAACAAACUGUUCUUAUGGGCAAUAUGCCAAACAGUUUGCAAUUUGUUGACUCAUUCACAGGCAGCUGAAACUCUGAAUUCUAACUAUCCCCAGUGGUAGAAGUUUAAUCAUUUGGAUCACUGCUUACUCUGGAAACAAACUGAGCAGAAAUUGAAAUUAUCAUCCUCCCAAACCCAAGAAAUAUUCUCAGAGGCAUUGACCUAUUUUAGAUUUCCUGGGUAAACUGCACUAGACUUCAUCCUAAACUCAGACCAGGCUAUCAAAGCACAGUGAGGUCCAUGGUAUUUCACAAGUUUCACAAGACCUGCACUUUUUCUUCCAACAGAAAAAUAAAGGCCAUAGCAUGAUUACCCCCCCUACCCCAUUGGUUUAUUUAUUCUUCUCAACAGGUAGAAGCAUUUCAUUCAGUAUUUAUUGAACAUCUCCUGUGGGCACAAUAUCAGGAUACUGGUGAUAGUAAAUGAGCCAGAUUAUAUUGUUAGCAAGCAGAUGUUUGAGCAUUAUUUGUCACCUGUGACUAGUGGGGUGCUUGACUUAGCUGAUGUUUGAAAAUUCAGCAAAGCAGCUGGAAUCCUUUAUGUGAAUGUGUGUUUUUUUGCAAAGGAUGUUCGUAAAAACAUGGUUCACUGGAGAUUGGUUUCCUGGUAUAUAAAUUCAGAAAUUCAUAACCUCAAAUAUCAGAGCUCUGUUUUCAUCAAUAACAAUGAAGACAUCCAUAGAUGUUUAUGGGAAAUAUUUAUGUAUUCCUGUCUCCUUACCACCACUCCUUUUCUGAAAAUGAGUUUUACCCAAACCAAAGAUGAGCUUACAAAAUGAUAUCUGAGACAAAGCCAGGCUACCAUUUUAAAUAUCAAGUGCAUUUUUACAAAUUUCUUUUUACCCACACAAUGUGUUAUUAAAUUAUAGUCAAAAGAAUCCUAAAGAUACUGCCUUUCUAAACAUUGUAAAAAAGUAUUCAGCCUUAUAAAAAAAGAAGCCCCCUUAUGAGUCAAAUAAAUCCACUAAUUUCCCAUAAUUACCUAGAAAUAUUGACUUAGGAAAAUAACAGUGGUUGACCUAAAUCAUCCUUCUAAUUAUUUUGUAAAUCCCUAUUUUCAAUGAUGAAUCUUUCCCUGUCUCAUAUCACUCCCUUCCCACUCUCUUUCUCUCCUUUUUCUUUCCUCACUCUCUUUGAAAAAAAAGAAUUAAAGUAAAAAAUUAGAAUACAACUGAGAUAUUUAUCAGAUUAAUACUUACAUAAAAGCACACUUCUGAUCCACCCUCCACUCAAAUUUCCUCCAUCAAUCUCAGUAAAUUGCAGCUUAAUCCUUCAGGUUACUCAAGCACAUAAUUCUAAAAUUAUUUUUCUAUACUGAUAUCCUUAUUUCAUAACCUAUAUUCAAAUUAUUAGCAAAUUUCUCUGGCUCCGUCUUUCCAGUAUUUUCCGAGUCCAACCAUUCCUCACCAAGUAUACCAACAACAUUUUUGUGCAAGCUCUCAUUUGUCUCAUUGCUUGUAAUAACACCCAACCUAGACUCCUUUCUUUUAUCCUCAACCUCUCCUGUUCAUCAUAGGUUAGCCAAGGUAAUCACUGUAAAAUUCAGAUCAGAUCAGAUUAUCUCCCUUCUAUACUCUCCAACGUCUGGCUUUCUAUUUCACAAACUGGCCUAUCAGCUCUUCACAUUUGGUCCCUUGCUGUUUCUCUGACCUAAUAUCCUACCAGUCCUUUGCUUCUUGCUCUCUCUUAGUCAUGUGCCACCUUACUGCUCCUUGCUCAUGCCUCAUGAUGAGUCUGCUCAGUCUUCAGGGUGUAUGCACUUCCCUCUGGGUGGAAUAUCUUCUCUGUGGUAAUUCCCAGGCUACUGCCAUCCCUUCUUUCAUGUCUCUGCUCAAAUGUCACGUUGUUGAGACAAAUUUUCAUUUACUAGUCCAUAAAAAAAAUAGCGUUUUCCCUCCUUAGGCACAUCUUUUAUUAUCCUCCUCAAUCUGGAAUAUUUUUUCUCAUAAACCUUACUUGAAAAAAAUUUAUGUGUUUCUUGUUUCCUAUCAUGUACUCUAAGCCUUAUGAGAGCAUAUGUAUCCAGAGCCUCUAAAAGAAUGGUUUAAAUAGAAGAGCCACUUAAAAUUUUUUUAAUUAAAAACUUUAUUAUCUCUAAAUCACAAAUUGUUUAUGUACUUUUAUUUUUCAACAUGUCUCAAAAAACACAUUCAAAAUUAGAUUAUAUUUUUAAUAGUCUAAAACCAAGCCCACUUUAUAUAAUAAAUAAAUGUACUAUAUUUUGUAUCAGUUUAAAACAUUGAGCAUUACUUUCACAUCUUAUCUACUUAAUGGUGGGAAAACAACAAUAAAUAAAUAAUGAAUAAUCCCAGUUUCUUUGAGAGAUUUUGAUUAAAGAAACAGGUUCUCACUGCAAGGAUCUCAGUGUUUGCCGGUGAGCUAACGUGGAAAGAAAGAAUUAUGAUUGAUUCAGUUCUUAAGUCGCUCAUUUGGAAUAACAUAGGGAUUAACACAGAAGAUGAGAGAAAAUAAAUGCAACAGCUAUAAAUAGAAAUACUGCAAGAGAAUAUAUCACUGUGUUUUAUGCAAUUUCUAAAACUAAGAAACUUUGCUUCUAGACAAUGUAGAGGAAAAUAUUCUCAAACUCAUGGAAGCAUAAAUAUUCAAGGGCUAGGAAAUAACCUCAACACACUGAGUUCUCUCUUGUAAUUAUAAUCUAUUAAAAAUAAUUUGGUAACUCAUUCAUAAAGGAUCUGAGAGCCUGGACAUAUCACAACAGACUGUCCUUUCUCUUAGGCAAAUGACAUAAAGCAACUAUGAAAAAGAAAACCAAAAGCAGCAAAAGAAGAAAAACAAGUGAUAGGCAAAGGAAAGAAGAUUUUGGAAUAAAAUAAAAUAUAUUUACAUUUAUAAUUUUUAAAUGUUUUAAAUAUGUGACAUAAAAUAUUAAGUGCAUGCCAAAGAUUAUCAAUAUAUCAAUGAGGAAACUACAACUUAAAUAAGUUGUUAUAAAAGACAUUUUGAGGUUUUUAGUAUUUACAGGCAUUAAGAAAUUGUGGGAAUAAGGAAUUCAUGUUGUGGCUCAGUGAUAACAAACCUGAUUAGUAACCAUGAGGAUGUGCGUUCAAUCCCUGGCCUCUCUCAGUGGGUUAAAGAUUGGGUGUUGCUGUGAGCUGUGGUGUAGGUCGCAGACGCACCUCAGAUCCUGUGUUGCUGUGGCUGUGGUGUAGGGUGGCAGCUGCAGGUCCAAUUUGACCCCUAGCCUGGGAACUUCCACAUG
rnacentral:lncRNA from 1 species